GAUAUAUAUAUAUAUGUUUGGUAACGUUUUGGGUCGAGAACCGACCGUUCCUAACAUAAGUGACAAAAGACUUAUUGAUUGGUAUCCGAAGUCCCAAUUCGAAUCUUGGUUUAUUUACAUUUCCAGGUAAGUUUAUUUCUAAAUGAAAUAAACGAAGCGGGUAGCAUGCUACCCAUCUCUCUAAAAAAAAAAAAACAUUUUUGGUCGAGA
rnacentral:lncRNA from 1 species